CCUACGGGUGGCAGCAGUGAGGAAUAUUGGUCAAUGGGCGCGAGCCUGAACCAGCCAAGUAGCGUGAAGGAUGACUGCCCUACGGGUUGUAAACUUCUUUUAUAAAGGAAUAAAGUGAGGCACGUGUGCAUUGUUGUAUGUACUUUAUGAAUAAGGAUCGGCUAACUCCGUGCCAGCAGCCGCGGUAAUACGGAGGAUCCGAGCGUUAUCCGGAUUUAGUGGGGUUCAAGGGAGCGUAGAUGGGUUGUUAAGUCCGUUGUGACAGUUUGCGGCUCAACCGUAAAAUUGCAAUUGAUACUGGCAGUCUUGAGUACAGUUGAGGUCGUCGGAAUUCGUGGUGUAGCGGUGACCUGCUUAGAUAUCACG
rnacentral:rRNA from 1 species